AUUAAUUCCCGCACAAUCCUUCCCUCCAAUAUUUGGAUUUCCCACACACCAGAGAUUAAUUUACCUCUCCCUAACCUAAUCUGUUCACUUCUCCCCAGGGAUUAUCUGUGUUUUGCUCUCCAUGGCAUCAGUUCUAGGAAGCAACGAUGAAGGAGAUUCCAGAUCCCUAAAGACAUUACUGGUGUGCUAAGUUGUUCCCAAAUGCAAAUCAAAAUCAGAGCACUUCGGUUUGCAAUUCAUUCUCUUUGACUCAACAAAUAUUGAAGGCGAACAUCCUAAGGGUUGGUGAACAACGCUAGCAGCUUUAAGUGGAUUUAAAAGGACAAAAAAGUAAGGCUCUGGAGUGAACUUAUAGUUGCAGAUAAGGGAGAAAAGGAGGUACUUGUGCAUGGUGGGAUGAUGACCCACAAAAAUUCUGGUGGAAUAUCGGAGUCAGUGGGUGGAGUUGUGUUUGUGGAUGGUAUUCAGAUGCACGCAUGCCUGCCUGAACCAUUAGUGGUGCUUGAUGUCAUUUUGGCACAACCGCAACCUAUUUCAGCACUAUAUGAGGCGUCCAAAAAAGAUGAGAAGCGGGUUGAUAUAUGUUACUGGUGAGAUGGUAAAUCUCUCUCUUAUCAUUCAUUAGAUGGCCGGCAAAAUAUGUGAAUCAGGUCGGAUUAGGUGUCAGAUCAUGAUCAUGCUUUGUUAAUGUAUGAAUGUAAAUGGGUUCAAGUCAGAAUGGGUCAAUUUAAAAAAGGCAUCAUUUUGCCAUUUGGUCAAAUUGGAGCUCAGACUUUCACAUUUGGUGAGCUUGCAGCUAUAACUCGUAUUUUUAGCCCU